UUCCUGGUGGUUCAAUGGUUGAGACUCUGAACUUUCAAUUCAGGGGGUACAGGUUUGAUCCCUGGUCUGGGAA
rfam:Ovis aries breed Texel chromosome 6, whole genome shotgun sequence.